CCUCAUUCCAAACCCUAGCCGUCGCCAGCCUUGGAGCUCUCGGACGCGGCGGCUCCUCCUCCACUCCCCCUCGACUCCUCCUCCAUCCCCGACGCGGCGGCGCCAGCCUGCAGGUAUGUUGGCAAUAUCCAUCUUCAAGUGACGGACGCAAUACUGCAGGAAGUCUUCCAAAGCAUUGGUCCAGUAGAAGGGUGCAAGCUCAUCAGAAAAGAAAAGACCCCCACGUCCAGAGUUACAAGAAGAUCAAGCUUUAGCGAUGGCUGCUGCUGUGUUGCCUCCUCUUGUUGGACCGAAGAGAAGGGAGGGGAGAAGCAGCUGGCGUGCAGACUUCUACUCAGGUGGUCUUUUAUUCUCUAUGGGGCUUCUAGGAUACAUCUUCUCCAGAAGCACCAUAAGUCUUGUCUUGGGCAUUACACCAGGGCUAGCCACUCUGCUACUUGGCACUCUCAGUCUGAAGUUCUAGAGGAGCGACAGAUCUAGCUUCCUGCUUAUCUUGGCUCAGGCAGAGGUGAUGCUGAUGUGCAAGCAUCUUCACCUUGAGUUCUGCCUUGCCAGAAUGAAUCAAGUUUAUUUUCCCAUCCUGCUCCAUUUGAGGUAGCCCAAUCGUCUGUCCUCACAUCAACUUUCACUUUCCUUAAGCCUUUAGGUUCAUUUGUCUUAUAUAUACCAUGGUAAACCACACCAUGAAUAUGCCAUAAAUAAGUAACAAGAGUGUAUUGCAACCUUGAUUCUACAUGCUUUAGGUAGUCUAGAAUAUCAUAUUGUUGUAUAUAUUUAACACCUUCUGUACCAUCAAAUUCAGAAAUGCACUCAAGAAAAGGCUUUUCAAAACUCUUAGAAUGUAUUCCAAGAGCAGUGCACAUAUUCAGAAGCUGAUUAUGUAAUUUCUUAUAUGUUGCUUUGAGGCAAAUUGAACAGGGAUUUGUUUGGCUUCCAAAUGGUUUGUUGGUCCUAAAAUAGUCAGAAUCACAUGACAUCUGUGCUAUAGAUAUGGACCUCGGUGGUUUUCUCCACAUUAGGAAAGCUGGAAAAGCCUUUUGAACUUAGUUUUUUUUGCUAAUAGUGGUGUUAUGGUGAAACAGAGUUUUGUGUGUAUGUACCAACAGCUAAAAUGUAAACACGACAUUAUCAUAGUUGAGUACAGGAAUAAUUAUCUCUUAUAUCUUA